AUUUCAUGUUUUUUUCACCCUAUAUGUUUCAGGUACGCACCAGAAUCCUUAUCAGAGUAUAAAUUUUCCCACAAAUCAGAUGUGUGGAGUUUUGGCGUUCUUCUGCAUGAGCUGUUCUCCUACUGUGAGCUGAGCAGAAACCCGAAGCGGCUCUCACUACAUCGGAUUGGAUGUGACAUUCAAGGUGCCAUGAUGGCUGUUCAUCUCUUCAAUGCUCUCAGAGAAGACUGGAGGCUGCCAGCACCCCCCAUGUGUCCACCAAAAGUGUUCAGUAUGAUGAUGCAGUGCUGGGCCUUCAACAGUGAAGACAGACCCUCCUUCUCCUACCUACAAGACCUGAUUGAGAGCAGCCUCCAGGAAGAGAGGGAUGGAGCUAAAGGAUAAAAAGAAUGUCACAAAGAACAGAACAGUUAAAUAAACUGUGUGUAUUUUAUGAGUCGAACAUUUGUUGGUCAACUGCAGAGUUUAACUCACUGGUUCCUUCUUUAAUAGUGUCUUCUAAAUAAGUAAACAGAGGACUUCAAUGGGUUCAGUU